rnacentral:snRNA from 1 species
GUGCUCCCUUCAGCAGCACAUAUACUAAAAUUGGAAUGAUACAGAGAAGAUUAGCAUGGCCCCUGCACAAGGAUGACAUGCAAAGUUGUGAAGCAUUCCAUAUUUUU